rnacentral:rRNA from 1 species
UACGGAGGGUGCAAGCGUUGCUCGGAAUCACUGGGCGUAAAGCGCCCGCAGGAGGCCUGACAAGUCGGAUGUGAAAGCCCUGGGCUCAACUCAGGAAUUGCAUUCGAAACUGGUAGGCUCGAGUACGGGAGAGGGGGGUGGAAUUCCUGGUGUAGGGGUGAAAUUCGUUGAUAUCAGGAGGAACACCGGCGGCGAAGGCGGCGCCCUGGCCCGCAACUGACGCUCAUGGUCGAAAGCGUGGGGAGCAAACAGG